AGACAGUCAGAGAUGGAAAAACUCAUUCAUCUGAUUUUACUUUUUGUUCUUGUUUCCAUUCCGGGUAGUUUUGAAGAGAAUUUAGCACGUAGAGGAACAGUUACGCAGUCAUCUAUAUAUUCUACCUUUGGAGCACAAAAUGCCAUAGAUGGUUUAAGAUAUGGACCAGGUGAAGCUGCAUACUGCUCCGUUACUGGAAAUGAAUUAAGUCCAUGGUGGAGGUUGGAUCUCUUGGAUUAUUAUGAGAUUAGUACAGUAAUCAUCACUACUAGAUCAGACUGUUGUCUUUGGCAAACCAAUGGAGCAGAGAUUCGUAUUGGAAACUCCACUGAAAACGAUGGAAACGACAAUCCCAUAUGUGCUAUAACUUCAGGUGGUCAAACUAUGAGUUACUCAUGUGGUGUAAUGGUGGGACGUUAUAUAAAUGUGGUCCUGACUGGACGUACAUCUAAUCUCGCUCUCUGUGAAGUUGAGGUUUAUGAAACAG